rnacentral:rRNA from 1 species
CUGAAAGCAUCUAAGCAUGAAGCCCCCCUCAAGAUGAGAUUUCCCAUUCCGCAAGGAAGUAAGAUCCCUGAAAGAUGAUCAGGUUGAUAGGUCUGAGGUGGAAGUGUGGCAACACAUGGAGCUGACAGAUACUAAUCGAUCGAGGACUUAACCAUAUUU